AGGAAGUUCCGCCCUCCCGCCUUUCUCCAUGUGUCUUGGCUUCCUCGCGUUCAGGAAGUCCUGGUGGGAGACUAGGCCUGAGUCCUCCAGGUACCUGAAAACUUCCUGGAGCUGCAGUUGCGGUGCCGGCUUCCUGGGACAUUCAUCAGCUCGUCCUGUCACCCUGCCAGGUCUCCAUAUGCUCAGAAAUUCUGCAUAAUUGUAAAUCAAAACUAAGAGCCCUGGAUGGUAAAGACCAAAGAGACUUCUAACAAAGGAUCCAGGGUUUCUUAACCUUCAAGGAUGUGGCUCCAGAGUUCACACUAGAGGAAUGGGAAAGUCUCAGUUUUGCUUAGUGGACACUGUACAUGGAUGUGAUUUUGGAGACGUACAACAAUCUAUUGUCUGUGGAAAAUAAUCUGAUAGGUGGAAAACAUGGGAAUGUCUUGGAACAAGACACCGCGUGCAUUGUCCAUGAGCAUAUGAAUAUCCAAAAGAAGUUUUGUAAAUGGGAGGAAAUUAGCAAAAUGACUCUUGAAUCCACCCAAAGUACACCUUAUAAAACUCAUCUCCAAGAUUCCUCCCUUCAGUCCUCAAACCUGAAAAGACAUAAAGCUGGGAAAAUGAGAGAAGUUUACAAAUAUAAAGACUGUGUACAGUUUUCAAAUGAAUGUGCUAUCAUUGGUGUAAAUUCUGGAAUCCACAGAGAGAACAAAGAACACAAAAAUACAGAAUUUGAUAAGGAUUUUGUCUAUAAACAUAAACUGAUGCUGAAACAAGACAUUAAUGGUAAGAACCUUCACCAAUGUAGUACAUGUGAUAAAUGCUUUGCCAGAAAAGAGAAUCUUCAUUUGCAUCAGAGAAUUCAUUCAGGAGAGAAACCUUACAAAUGUAGUCAAUGUGACAAAUAUUUUGCCCACCAAUCCUGUCUUAUGCGUCAUCAAAGAAGCCAUUCAGGAGAGAAACCUUACAAAUGUAGUCAAUGUGACAAAUUCUUUGCCCAAGGAUACCAUCUUAGUAUUCAUCAGAGAGUUCAUACAAGAGAUAAACCUUACAAAUGCAGUGAAUGUGACAAAUGCUUUACUGAGAAUGGCACUCUGAGAAACCAUAUGAGAAUUCAUACAGGAGAGAAACCUUACAAAUGCAGUAAAUGUGACAAGUACUUCAGCUACAAAGGCAGUCUGAAGAUUCAUCAGAGAGUUCAUACAGGAGAGAAACCUUACAAAUGCAGUGAAUGUGACAAAUGCUUUGGCCACCAAUCCAAUCUUACUAUUCAUCAGAGAAUUCAUACAGGAGAUAAACCUUACAAAUGCAGUGAAUGUGACAAAUGCUUUACUGAAAAAGGCACUCUGAGAAACCAUAUGAGAAUUCAUACAGGAGAUAAACCUUACAAAUGCAGUAAAUGUGACAAAUGCUUUACUGAAAAAGGCACUCUGAGAAACCAUAUGAGAAUUCAUACAGGAGAGAAACCUUUCAAAUGCAGUAAAUGUGACAAAUGGUUUGACCACAGAAUUAGUUUGAGAAUUCUUCAGACAGUUCAUACAGGAGAGAAACCAAACAAAUGUGGUUAAUAUGACAAAUGCUUUACCCAAAACUAUACUGUUCGUGUACAUCAGAGACUUCAUACAGGAGAGAAACCUUACAAAUAUGGUGAAUGUGACAUAUGCUUUGGCCGACAGUCUCAUCUUAGUAUUCAUCAGAGAAUUCAUUUAGGACAAAAACCUUUCAAAUUCCCUUUAUGUGGGAAAUGCUUUACCCACUAAGUCUGAAUUCAUCAGAGAAUUCAUACUGGAGAGAAACAAUGUAAGUGAACUGAAUGUGACAAAUCUUUUACUCACAAAGUUACUUUGACAAUUGCUCAGAGAAUUCAUCCAGGAGAAUAAAUUUACAAAUGUGUGACAAAUACUUUACCCAGAAAUGCAGUCUUCAUGUACAUUAGAGACUUCAUAGAGGAGAGAAACCUUACAAAUGCAGUGAAUGUGACAAAUGCCUUACCCAAAUGUUUGCCUGAGAAGACAUCAGAGAUUUCAUACAUGAGAUAAUACUUGCAAGUGUCAUGUACAUGAAAAAUGCAUUAACUACAAUGUCUGACAGAUUACAUACAGUAGAAAAGCAUUAUAAAUUUAGUCAAUAAAACAAUUCUUUACCAGCAAAUAUCGUCUUAAAAUUCAUUAGAUGAAGCACCCACCUCGACCAGCAAGGAAGAUGCAACACCAUUGGGCUCUUCUUAACUGCCUUUAUUGCAGGAACACCUUAUUCUUGAUACGGGGGACCCCGGGGAACAAAGGCACUCACCUUAAAUACAAGACAGACAGUGGCUGUAAACUUGUCCUCUGGGGAUUGGUGGAGUAUGAAAUACCUUAUUAGCAUGAAUAUCACUCUGGCCAUGUAAAUGCCAGAAUGCCAAGGACAUGGCUUUAAUGGUUGUAUACCAUAAACGACCACUAGAUGUCAGUGCUAUCUUUAGCCGCUCCCAACAAUUAGAUAAUAUUAAAGGAGAGAAAAUUUUCAAAUGUAUUAGAGGUGUGAAUAUUUUCUUUUGGCCUAUCUCUUAGAAUUAACAGAAUACGUACAUGUGACAAUCUGAAGAAAUAUAAUGUAUUUGGAAAUAUCUUUGACUUCAUUUCAGGUCUGAGAAAACAUUUUAAAUUUUUUGUGGGUAAGUGUAUCUUGCAAAAAUUGAGCUUCCACACUAGCGAAUUUGUAUGAUUAUGAAAACUUCAGAAACCUUCAUGCAGUGUUCAAAUCUUAGAAAAUGUCAACUAUUUAUGCUGAGAAAAACUCUGAAAAUUUGACAAUGUAGGAAAGUUUUCAUUAAACUUUUACCAGUUCACCCUCAAAUAUUCCAAGAUGAAGACAUGUGGGGAAGCCAGAAUAAUAUAGUCUUGUGUAACACGUGCAUGGCAAGAGAAAUUAUCUAUUUCAAAGGGACUUCACCCCUCAAAAUAUCUAAUAAUACUGGCAGCAUUCUGUAUAUUCAAGUGAUCAAAUUCAGACAAAUUAUACUUAAAAAGGUUUAUUUGACAAACUGAGAUAUGAAAACUGUUUGUUCUUUAUCCUAUAAAUAUGUCUACAGA